rnacentral:rRNA from 1 species
UGGGGAAUUUUGCGCAAUGGGCGAAAGCCUGACGCAGCAACGCCGCGUGAGUGAUGAAGGCUUUCGGGUCGUAAAGCUCUGUCGAGGGGAAAGAAGUGUACGGGGGCUAAUAUCCUCUGUACUUGACGGUACCCCUAAAGGAAGCACCGGCUAACUCCGUGCCAGCAGCCGCGGUAAUACGGGGGGUGCAAGCGUUGUUCGGAAUUAUUGGGCGUAAAGAGCGUGUAGGCGGUUUGUUAAGUCUGAUGUGAAAGCCCUGGGCUCAACCCAGGAAGUGCAUUGGAAACUGGCGGACUUGAAUACGGGAGAGGGCAGUGGAAUUCCUAGUGUAGGAGUGAAAUCCGUAGAUAUUAGGAGGAACACCGGUGGCGAAGGCGGCUGCCUGGACCGAUAUUGACGC